CGGCGGCGGCGCGGGGCUGAGGGAAGAUGGCGGACCCGGCGGAGUGCAACAUCAAAGUGAUGUGUCGCUUCAGGCCCCUCAACGACUCGGAGGUGGUGCGCGGCGACAAGUACAUCGCCAAGUUCCAGAGCGAGGACACCGUCAUCAUCGCCUCCAAGCCUUAUGUAUUUGACCGUGUAUUCCAGUCGAGCACAACGCAAGAACAAGUUUAUAAUGACUGUGCUAAAAAGAUUGUCAAAGAUGUACUUGAAGGAUACAAUGGUACAAUAUUUGCUUAUGGGCAGACAUCAUCUGGGAAAACGCACACUAUGGAGGGAAAACUUCAUGAUCCAGAUGGGAUGGGGAUAAUUCCAAGAAUAGUGCAAGAUAUUUUUAAUUAUAUUUACUCCAUGGAUGAAAACUUGGAGUUCCAUAUUAAGGUGUCAUAUUUUGAAAUAUACUUGGACAAGAUAAGGGACCUUUUGGAUGUUUCGAAGACCAAUCUUUCUGUUCACGAGGAUAAAAACAGAGUUCCUUAUGUAAAGGGUUGCACAGAGCGUUUUGUAUGUAGUCCAGAAGAAGUUAUGGAUACCAUAGAUGAAGGAAAAUCUAACAGACAUGUAGCAGUUACAAACAUGAAUGAACACAGCUCUCGAAGUCAUAGUAUCUUUCUUAUUAAUGUGAAACAAGAAAAUACUCAAACAGAACAGAAGCUGAGUGGAAAACUCUAUCUUGUGGACUUGGCAGGUAGUGAAAAGGUUAGUAAAACUGGAGCAGAAGGUGCUGUGCUGGAUGAAGCUAAGAACAUCAACAAGUCUCUCUCAGCUCUUGGAAAUGUCAUCUCUGCUUUAGCUGAAAGUAGUACUUAUGUCCCAUAUCGUGAUAGUAAAAUGACCAGAAUCCUUCAGGAUUCAUUGGGUGGUAACUGUAGAACCACUAUUGUAAUUUGCUGCUCUCCGUCGUCAUACAAUGAAUCUGAAACUAAAUCUACACUCUUAUUUGGUCAAAGAGCCAAGACCAUUAAGAACACAGUCUGUGUCAAUGUGGAACUGACUGCAGAACAAUGGAAAAAGAAGUAUGAAAGAGAAAAAGAGAGAAACAAGACCCUACGUAACACCAUACAGUGGCUUGAAAAUGAGCUCAACAGAUGGCGCAAUGGGGAGACUGUACCAGUUGAUGAGCAGUUUGACAAAGAAAAAGCCAACUUGGAAGCUUUUGCAGUGGAUAAAGAUAUUACUAUCACUAAUGAUAAACCAGCUGCCACAAUUGGAGUGACUGGCAGUUUUACUGAUGCUGAGAGAAGAAAGUGUGAGGAAGAAAUUGCUAAACUGUAUAAACAACUUGAUGAUAAGGAUGAAGAAAUUAAUCAGCAGAGCCAGUUAGUAGAGAAGCUGAAGACACAAAUGUUGGAUCAGGAAGAGCUUCUUGCAUCUACCAGACGGGACCAAGAUAAUAUGCAAGCUGAGUUGAAUCGUCUCCAGGCUGAAAAUGAUGCCUCUAAAGAGGAAGUGAAAGAAGUGCUACAAGCCCUUGAAGAACUUGCUGUCAAUUAUGAUCAGAAAUCUCAGGAAGUAGAAGACAAAGCAAAAGAAUAUGAGCUGCUUAGUGAUGAACUCAAUCAGAAAUCGGUAACUUUAGCCAGUAUAGAUGCAGAGCUACAGAAACUAAAAGAAAUGACCAACCACCAGAAAAAACGAGCAACGGAGAUGAUGGCCUCAUUACUGAAAGAUCUUGCAGAAAUAGGAAUUGCAGUUGGAAAUAAUGAUGUGAAGCAACCUGAAGGAACUGGUAUGAUAGAUGAGGAAUUCACAGUGGCAAGACUAUACAUUAGCAAAAUGAAAUCAGAAGUGAAAACAAUGGUAAAGCGGUGCAAACAACUAGAAAGCACGCAAACUGAAAGCAACAAAAAAAUGGAGGAAAAUGAAAAAGAGCUGGCUGCUUGUCAGCUUCGUAUCUCACAGCAUGAAGCAAAGAUCAAGUCACUAACAGAGUAUCUUCAGAAUGUGGAACAGAAAAAGAGGCAACUGGAAGAAUCUGUAGAUUCCCUUAAUGAAGAACUAGUCCAGCUUCGAGCACAGGAAAAAGUUCAUGAAAUGGAGAAGGAGCACUUAAAUAAAGUCCAAACUGCAAAUGAAGUCAAGCAAGCAGUUGAGCAGCAGAUUCAGAGCCACCGUGAGACCCACCAGAAACAAAUUAGCAGCCUGCGAGAUGAGGUUGAUGCAAAGGAGAAACUUAUUACUGAACUCCAAGACCAAAAUCAGAAGAUGAUGCUUGAGCAGGAACGUCUAAGAGUUGAACACGAGAAGCUGAAAACUACAGAUCAAGAAAAAAGCAGGAAACUUCAUGAACUUACGGUUAUGCAGGACAGACGAGAACAAGCAAGGCAAGAUCUGAAGGGUUUGGAAGAAACUGUGGCUAAAGAACUUCAAACUCUGCACAACCUUCGGAAGCUCUUUGUUCAAGAUCUGGCUACCAGAGUUAAAAAGAGCGCAGAGAUGGACUCAGAUGAAACGGGAGGCAGUGCUGCACAAAAACAGAAAAUUUCCUUCCUCGAGAAUAAUCUUGAGCAGCUCACAAAAGUCCACAAACAGCUGGUACGUGAUAAUGCAGAUCUUCGCUGCGAGCUUCCUAAACUGGAGAAACGACUUAGAGCUACAGCUGAGAGAGUUAAAGCUUUGGAGUCGGCACUGAAGGAAGCCAAAGAAAAUGCAUCUCGUGAUCGUAAGCGAUAUCAGCAAGAGGUAGACCGCAUUAAAGAAGCAGUGAGAUCUAAGAACAUGGCUAGAAGAGGACAUUCUGCCCAGAUUGCAAAGCCUAUCCGUCCUGGCCAGCAUCCAGCAGCUUCUCCAACUCAUCCAAGUGCAAUUCGUGGAGGAGGUGCAAUAACUCAGAACAGUCAGCCAGUCCCACUGCGUGGCGGUGGAGCACGGCAGGAUAAAGUAGUCAAUAACACUUGCAGAUGACAUCCCAUUGACUCUGGUUGCAUAAAACUUGCUACUAAGGCACUGGUCCCUAACUUGCGCUGUUUUUCAUCUAUAACUGAGAUAAUAGCACCUCAGAUAAGUGGAUCUAUGAACAAAUGAGUUGCUGAGAAGUCUGCAGCAUGAAGAGGAUGGGAUAUCAUACAGAGAGAGUCAUUCCAUGACAAUAAUCUCUCCCAUUGUGGAUUGUAGGAUUUUUUUUUUUAACUGUAUAAAUUAUACCUGGCCUGUACAGCUCUCUUCCCUUCUACAAAUUCUGCUAACUGAUUCCCAAAAAUACUAGAGUGCAAUUUCGGCAUCUUGAAAAAUGACAUGUUAAAGUGUAGUUCUGUUCAUUACACUGUUUGUCUUUCAUGUCUUAAAUUUAGUCUGCACUGUGCCAAGCUGAAUGUAUGUUAAGUAAAUCUUAGUUCAAAUUUUCUAGCUUAAUUUGUGUACAUUUUACUGUCUUAGGGCAACGUGGAACAAUGUUGAAAUACACUUUAAUUUUUACCACAUGAAGUAAUAACACUACUUGUCCCACCCUGAGUUAUAACAGCACUCUUAUCUUAAAGUUUUCCUGAAAUGCUGCAUAGAGCAUCAGAACUGAAAUAUUUGUACAGUGUAGGAAUACUGAAGUGUGCUUAUGACAACUGCCAUAAGGCAUUGAAAUCUUGAAACCAUAGAACUAAAGAGUUCAGUUUGAACAAGGCUAUUUAACUGUUUGAUUAAUUGCCUGUUUAUCAGGCUGUUUUGAGUUAAAUACUGUACAGUAACAAAAGUAAACCUAAAUUUACAUAGAAAAAGUCUGUCAGUGGAAAAUUUCAUCUGUCCUGUUCCUGAUUCUGUACACAGCAUAAUUUGGAGUGAAAACAUUCUGCUUCAUUCUGAUGAGCUCAUUACCUAUUUGUCUAAUUCUGAUAGCUAAUUUUCACUAUAUUAACAUAGUGAAAUGAGUCUAGAAUUUAACUUUUUCCACUAUUGUGUGCAUAUUGGAAAUCUUGACCUGAAAUGUAAGCUUUCAAUUUGAGAAAACGAGUUAAUGAGCAGUUGGAUAAUUAAUUAAAUACACUAAUAAUGGAGGCAAGGAAACUAUAGCUCAUAUGGCCAGAAAUCCCAGAGCUGUGUCAGGACCAAGGGUGGAAGGGAGGAACCUGUGCUACACUGAAUUGUAUUGUAAUGCAUUUGUAAGUCUAGGAAUACGUAAAUACCUACUCCCAAGCAGUAGUUGUAUCAAAUAUUUUCUUCUUUUUGCAAUAAAGUCCUGUAAAUUGGCUACAAAAUAAAAGAUGUUUUUGUUCUGAGCUGUUUCUCAAGUUCUGAGCACCCAUAUCUGCUGCUGAAAUCAAGAUCAAAGCUUUUGAAAUUAAAUUACACAAGUGAUAAGAUAUUCUGAGGGGGUUUUCCACUAUAGUUGUAGAAAAGUUGUUCUUGGAACAGAAAUGAGUUACCAAAUCAUUGUGUUGGAAGAAACCUAAUGUGAAAAUUCAAGAAUACAAGAGUUAAUGCCAUGUCUUAAAUCAGUUGUCUCACUACUUUUUGGGAUGUUGUCCAUCUUUGUGGAAACUUAAAUCCUACAUAGACAUUGAUUUGCAAAUAAUUUUUGAGACCUUUUUAUAUGAAGUGAAAUGUUUGUAUUAUGAUGGAGCAUGGUCAAAAUUUUUGGACUUUAAGUUACCUUUUCUAUUUCCUUCUUAUUCACAGCAGCUUGACUAGCUACGUUAAUUUUCAUUUCAAAAGCUGAUUUUGUUUAUAACUGCCAGAAAACCUAAUUCUUUCAGGUUUUCAACAUUAAAAGACCCUUAUUCUUAAAAAAAAUUACAGCAAAAAACUGCAAAAUUGUAAGCUUUCUGGAGCAUGAGAGGCAAUGUGCCAAGGGAAGUGGAUGGUGAACUAGUAGUUAAAUAGAUGGUUUUAAAUGGAAUUUUCUUAAUGGAAACAGCCUUGUCUGGAAUUUCUCACAAUAUUAACUGCAAAUUUUCAGACCUUCACCUGUAUUAAUUUGCAGUGAGUAAAAACUAGUUUCCUUGGAGAUACUCAGAUGAAGCAGGAUAUUUUUUUCAUGCCUGUAUAUGGCAGUUUCAUUCCUGUAAGUAAUGUAUCAUGGGUAUUGGUGCUGAACAUCGCUGUGUAUUAAGCAGUUAAACUAACUAGCAUGUAGCUCAAAAUGUAUAUCACCUUUUUUAUAUCCAAGCUUUUUUUAUUUUAAAUCUUUACAAAGUUUACCAAGAACUGAAUCUUAAAAUUUUCAAGCUGCAAUUUGGUUCUUUCUGGUUCAGCUCCGGUAGGUUAUCUGGACAGGACAAUUACUAUUUUGUAAAUUUAAAAUAUUCUGUCUGUAAUGAAAUGUUAAAUGUAUUGCUAUUUUAAAUUGCAGUCUUUGAGCAGUUCUUAUUUUUAUGUUCCUCUGGAUCAUAUUUUCUAAAAAGGCUUAGAUAGGAAUUCAGUAAAAUAAAAUAUUUAUUCCUGGUGAUCAACUAAAUUAUUUGCAUAAUUUAAAUACUGACUCACUACUGUGUGUAACUCUAAAUUUGACAUGAGACGACAAGUCUACCUGUGGAAUACAGUGCUUUAACUCAAGUACAUUAAGAUGCAUUCAAACCUAGUUGGUUUUGGGAAGGCACCACAUAGUUUUAACUUACCUGCAUGCUGUAAAUGUAUUUGUGUUUAAAUAAAGAGGAAAAAAAUA